CUGAUCAGCCAUGCCGCGUGUGUGAAGAAGGCCUUAUGGUUGUAAAGCACUUUAAGCGAGGAGGAGGCUACUUUAGUUAAUACCUAGAGAUAGUGGACGUUACUCGCAGAAUAAGCACCGGCUAACUCUGUGCCAGCAGCCGCGGUAAUACAGAGGGUGCAAGCGUUAAUCGGAUUUACUGGGCGUAAAGCGCGCGUAGGCGGCUAAUUAAGUCAAAUGUGAAAUCCCCGAGCUUAACUUGGGAAUUGCAUUCGAUACUGGUUAGCUAGAGUGUGGGAGAGGAUGGUAGAAUUCCAGGUGUAGCGGUGAAAUGCGUAGAGAUCUGGAGGAAUACCGAUGGCGAAGGCAGCCAUCUGGCCUAACACUGACGCUGAGGUGCGAAAGCAUGGGGAGCAAACAGGAUUAGAUACCCUGGUAGUCCAUGCCGUAAACGAUGUCUACUAGCCGUUGGGGCCUUUGAGGCUUUAGUGGCGCAGCUAACGCGAUAAGUAGACCGCCUGGGGAGUACGGUCGCAAGACUAAAACUCAAAUGAAUUGACGGGGGCCCGCACAAGCGGUGGAGCAUGUGGUUUAAUUCGAUGCAACGCGAAGAACCUUACCUGGCCUUGACAUAGUAAGAACUUUCCAGAGAUGGAUUGGUGCCUUCGGGAACUUACAUACAGGUGCUGCAUGGCUGUCGUCAGCUCGUGUCGUGAGAUGUUGGGUUAAGUCCCGCAACGAGCGCAACCCUUUUCCUUAUUUGCCAGCGAGUAAUGUCGGGAACUUUAAGGAUACUGCCAGUGACAAACUGGAGGAAGGCGGGGACGACGUCAAGUCAUCAUGGCCCUUACGGCCAGGGCUACACACGUGCUACAAUGGUCGGUACAAAGGGUUGCUACCUAGCGAUAGGAUGCUAAUCUCAAAAAGCCGAUCGUAGUCCGGAUUGGAGUCUGCAACUCGACUCCAUGAAGUCGGAAUCGCUAGUAAUCGCGGAUCAGAAUGCCGCGGUGAAUACGUUCCCGGGCCUUGUACACACCGCCCGUCACACCAUGGGAGUUUGUUGCACCAGAAGUAGCUAGCCUAAC
rnacentral:rRNA from 1 species